CCGUACUAGGCGGGAAUGUAGCGGACUCCUGUAACCCGAACGCUAAGCGGGGCUGAAUUCCUUUUGGGCGGUCGCGUCUGUGCAGAUGGCAUGGCGCCGAAACGAGGAUGUUGACGUAUGGGUCCUGUGCAACAUACUGCUGUGAAUCGUGUCAGGUCUUGACGGAAGCAGCACUAAGCGGAUGUGUAUGUGUGCCGCAGGGAUGCCUGUAUCGAGUCUGACGCCGGAGUGCCUCUGAAGCACAGCCGAACAACCACAGGUGUACGG
rnacentral:SRP_RNA from 1 species